AUGUUACUCUCUCCGUCUGAAAUAACUUGUCACAAAACAAAAAUGGAUAGAAAUGGAUGUAUCUAGAACUAAAAUACAUCUAGAUACAUUCAUUUAUGUGACAAGUAAUUUCGGACGGAGGGAGUACCUU
rfam:Triticum aestivum genome assembly, contig: Triticum_aestivum_CS42_TGACv1_scaffold_031054_1BL